rnacentral:rRNA from 1 species
UACGGGGGGGGCAAGCGUUGUUCGGAAUUACUGGGCGUAAAGGGCUCGUAGGCGGCCAACUAAGUCAGACGUGAAAUCCCCAGGCUUAACCUGGGAACUGCGUCUGAUACUGGAUGGCUUGAAUUCGGGAGAGGGAUGCAGAAUUCCAGGUGUAGCGGUGAAAUGCGUAGAUAUCUGGAGGAAUACCGGUGGCGAAGGCGGCAUCCUGGACCGAGAUUGACGCUGAUGAGCGAAAGCUAGGGGAGCAAACGGG